AAUGGUGCAGGGCACACAAUACAGCAGUAGAGCAUCUUCAAUUUGUUGGAAUGCCAAGAAACUACCCAGAUACACAGUUUCCCUCAUCCCCUCACCCACAUGGAACAAUGCUCCCACCGCAUCUUCCUGGGUGUGCCCUGGGGCCGCGUCUUCCUGAUCUUGCUGUUCUGGGCCUGGCACCGCUCUCCCUAGCUCUCCAAUGGAUGGACUGGGUGAACACUUGCCUCGAAGCUCCCUCAGCCCCCUGCUUCCCUGACAGGGCCUCGCAGACUCUCCUCCUCCCUGCCUGCCUGACACUCGCCCCAGGGAUGUGCCUCCUCUCUUUGUUCUCAUCUCUUACCCUGGAGUUUAAACCCACACAUCCACAGAGACUCUCAAAUCUCUGUCCAUAG
rnacentral:lncRNA from 1 species